UAGGGAAUCUUCGGCAAUGGGGGCGACCCUGACCGAGCAACGCCGCGUGAGUGAAGAAGGUUUUCGGAUCGUAAAGCUCUGUUGUAAGUCAAGAACGAGUGUGAGAGUGGAAAGUUCACACUGUGACGGUAGCUUACCAGAAAGGGACGGCUAACUACGUGCCAGCAGCCGCGGUAAUACGUAGGUCCCGAGCGUUGUCCGGAUUUAUUGGGCGUAAAGCGAGCGCAGGCGGUUUGACAAGUCUGAAGUUAAAGGCUGUGGCUCAACCAUAGUUCGCUUUGGAAACUGUCAAACUUGAGUGCAGAAGGGGAGAGUGGAAUUCCAUGUGUAGCGGUGAAAUGCGUAGAUAUAUGGAGGAACACCGGUGGCGAAAGCGGCUCUCUGGUCUGUAACUGACGCUGAGGCUCGAAAGCGUGGGGAGCGAACAGGAUUAGAUACCCUGGUAGUCCACGCCGUAAACGAUGAGUGCUAGGUGUUGGAUCCUUUCCGGGAUUCAGUGCCGCAGCUAACGCAUUAAGCACUCCGCCUGGGGAAUACGACCGCAAGGUUG
rnacentral:rRNA from 1 species